UGAGCUUCUCUGAGAGUGGGAAUUUGAGUUAGAGAUACUAUACCUCAAGUUCCCUCUCCUGAGAAACUCAUU
rnacentral:miRNA from 1 species